rnacentral:rRNA from 1 species
UACGGAGGGUGCAAGCGUUAUCCGGAUUCACUGGGUUUAAAGGGUGUGUAGGCGGGCAGUUAAGUCAGUGGUGAAAUCUCCGGGCUCAACCCGGAAACUGCCAUUGAUACUAUCUGUCUUGAAUAUCGUUGAGGCGGGCAGAAUAUGUCAUGUAGCGGUGAAAUGCAUAGAUAUGACAUAGAAUACCGAUUGCGUAGGCAGCUUACUACACGAUCAUUGACGCUGAGGCACGAAAGCGUGGGGAGCAAACAGG